UCAGCUGUUUCUGAAUCCAGUUGGUGUGG
rnacentral:sRNA from 1 species